AAAACUGCCAGGCUGAAAUAAGAGUUCCACACCUGUGACAAGGGAAGGAAUUUUACAGCAUUACACUCCAAGAGAUUAUUCUGCCUUUUAAACAGGCUGUUGUCAGAUACUCCUCUUCCCUAUGGAAGUUGAGGUAAGAAGUUCUGCUGGUGUGAGAUGUGUGAUGUGCCAUUUCAAAAUGUCAGAGGUCUGUGCCCCUCACCAACCCCUGCUGUUCACGGAGAGUCAUAAUUUAAGCUGAUGUUCACGAAGAAGCAGGCAGCAACUGGAGUGGUAAGGUUACAGCUUUCCAAAAAAAGAUUUCAUCUGCUAGAGACAUUUGUAUCCCCCAAAAGGCUUGAAAUUCUCUUCUGGCAUAAAAUCAAUACCCUUUGUAAGAAAGCUCCAGUGCAUACUGAACAUCUAGCAAAAUGCUGUACAACAACUGACUUCACAUUCACGGGAUUAAAAAAUGCCCUGUUCCUCUGCUUGUGUUUAAUAGGUAACAAUUAUGAUAUCCUUUAUGUCCAACAACAUCUAUCCUGGGACUUUAUUUGCUGUUAUAAUUUGGUGCCCUGUAGCCUUAAAUGGUUUUUUGCAACACUACACCAACGAUUAUAAAAGUGAAAGGAAGGUCUCUAAAGAGAGUGCCAGUGGAUGGGAAUGAUUAACAGGGCAAGUGAUGCUCGAGGGAUUCCCCUCUGCUCUCCCAUUCUGAGGGAAUCACCCUACAAACACCACACCCUUUGGUACCUUCAGCUCAUCCUUGCUUUGGAAGUUGUCCAGUAAGUGCUGGAAGUGAGUGUCUGACAUCUGACGAAGCAAAGAUAAAAGGCAGGAGACAUAUUCUCCCUGUUGACCAAAUGAGAAACUCUUUCAUUGAGACAAUCUGAAAUUUCAUAGAUACAAAGCUUAACCUGGGGGAAGGUAUAAAGGGAGGGGUCUGAAAUGGCCCCAAUGCCUGUGAGGGGACAGCUGACAUGCACAGAGAUUGAAAGUACUGCAGGUUAACAGUUCCUGAGUUACUGUUAAUACAGGGAUACACCUCCAGGAGGCUCCUCCACAGAUGCCAGUUUUAAAGGUCUUUUAAUCAAAGUUGUAGUCUAAUCAAAAAUCAUUUUAAAUUAUUAAUACAGACAUUAACAAAUCACCCUCCAAGCAUGCAGGUUUUGACAAUACCUUUUCAGGUACUUAAUAUACAGUGUCUGUCAGAGGUGUGACUGCAGCUCAUGCCAACAGACCAGCAAUUAUUUGAACUGAUUGACUCAGACCAGUAAAGCAGUGACAAUUUGGGAUCAGGCUGGGCUACAGAAGGUGUCUAGAAGCUUGUAAAUAUAUGGCUUAUUAGUGUUCACCAAGUUCUGUGCUGUCAAAGCUCCAGUACUGACAGGACUGCAGUCAGAUUUCCUGAGCACAGUCUGAGUAAGCCUACAUGAGCUACAAUUACAUUUCUGUAAUUCUGCAAAGCAGAUGCACCCUAACCAGUUACCACAGCAUCCCAAAGUGUUUUCCAAAGAGGAACUCCCCCAUUUUACAAAUCUGAAAGCAAAGCACAGAGAAGUUAAGCAAUCUGUCCAAGAGAACAAGGUGGUGCCAAGAACAAACAUCAGGACUGGGUCUGUUGAUUGCCAGUCCCUUGCACAACACUAUUUUUUUCUACAACAAAGAGCAACUAAUUUGGAAAAUACACAAAUCUAAGCCAUAUCUAAUAAGAAUCCAUAUAUCACUGUGCUGUGAAAUGUAAACUGAGGAGCAAAUAUAAGGGACCGUGCCUUCCAUUUUACUGUUUUUGUAAUUGGCUCAAGCAUCUACCCAGGAGCUUUGACACAGGUUGUUCCAAUAAAGUUUCCAGGGCUGAACUUCACUAAGAAGAAAGAUGUGCUCUUUUGUGUGGGCUGGCAUGUGGUAAACAGCAGUAAGUCAAAUGGCAGCAGUAAAAGGAAACUGAGGUAUUACUGGACAUUUGCAAGCCAGUGCCUUUCUUGUCCUGUAUCAAAGAACAUCUUGUUAUCUGAGCUAACAAGGAAAGGUCCAACCUUCUCUCCUGUGUGAGAAGUGCACCUUAGUGCACAUCUGCCCCCAGCAGCACUGCUGAGGUUUCAGCCAUUUGCUAAAAAAACAAGUCUAAAAAAAGGACAUUCUGAACAGCAGCUUAACAUUCUACAUUGUGCAAAAGCUGCAUUAGAGACUCUGACAAACAAAAAUAGACUAAAAUAGGCUAGAAUAGAAAAGGGCACAAAUCCAGGAAAGAAGAAGGCUGAACAGCAACAUUCUAUUCUUUUUCUUCUCUUCCACUGCAUGUCAAAAAUUUUUUCCCUGUGGCUAAUGCUGGCAGCCUGGGUAAAGUGGUGGCUUCUCCCACCAAGCUCAACAGCUCACUUGACUGUUAAAUCUGUUAAUUUCUUUUGAAAAAGUAUGCUGUGUUUCAUUUGCAUGAAAUAAUCAAUGACCUGGGACAGAAGCUCUCCAGGGUGUUUAGCAAAGGGAUUUAACCACAGAGCACUGUGAUAUCCUCAGUUUUGGGGAUCACAGCCUAGUACUCAUAUAGCCCUUGGUGACACCACCUUAGGGGUGAAGCUCCAGGCAGCUGCCCAGUACCUCAAGUUUUAAGCAAUAACUCUCAAUCACAGCUGCAAAGACAAACAAGAAAAUAAUCCGGCAAUCCACUAAAGGCUCCUGAGCUCCACUGCUUCCUGCAGCCCUCACUAGUGCAGGGAGGAGGGAAUGGGUUCGUGGCUUAUUAAGGGAAAGAGACAAAGCCCUGGGCAUUCAUGCAGCAGAGAUGAUGAUGAGGUGCCAGUGGUGGUGAGGGACUGAACCAGAGGUUAGAGAAGCAGGAAAUAGAAACUGAUUGUUAGUUACUAACAGUGAUUUCUGCUGUGCACUGCGGGCAGCGCUGCCCUCUUACCGCCUCCUGAGACUGCGAUUUACUCAUGAUUGUGAGCAGAGUUUGUAACAGCACGUCCAGGAGGCUCUCCACCAUCAUCUCAACCUCCUCCACGACAUCUCCCUCC